rnacentral:rRNA from 1 species
GGUGAGUAACGCGUAAACAACCUGCCCUACGGAUGGGGACAACAGCUGGAAACGGCUGCUAAUACCGAAUACGUUCCGAAAGUCGCAUGACUGUCGGAAGAAAGGAUGGCCUCUAUUUAUAAGCUAUCGCCGGAGGAGGGGUUUGCGUCUGAUUAGCUAGUUGGAGGGGUAACGGCCCACCAAGGCGACGAUCAGUAGCCGGUCUGAGAGGAUGAACGGCCACAUUGGAACUGAGACACGGUCCAGACUCC